rnacentral:rRNA from 1 species
UACGUAGGCAGCAAGCGUUGUUCGGAAUUACUGGGCGUAAAGAGCUCGUAGGCGGUCUGUCGCGUCGGCUGUGAAAACCCGGAGCUCAACUCCGGGCCUGCAGUCGAUACGGGCAGACUGGAGUUCGGCAGGGGAGACUGGAAUUCCUGGUGUAGCGGUGAAAUGCGCAGAUAUCAGGAGGAACACCGGUGGCGAAGGCGGGUCUCUGGGCCGAUACUGACGCUGAGGAGCGAAAGCGUGGGGAGCGAACAGG